rnacentral:rRNA from 2 species
GAAACGACUGCUAAGACUGGAUAGGAAAUAAAAAGGCAUCUUUUUAUUUUUAAAAGACCUUUUUCGGAAGGUAUGCUUAAAGAGGGGCUUGCGUCACAUUAGUUAGUUGGUAGGGUAAAGGCCUACCAAGACGAUGAUGUGUAGCUGGACUGAGAGGUUGAACAGCCACAUUGGGACUGAGACACGGCCCAAACUCCUACGGGAGGCAGCAGUAGGGAAUUUUCGGCAAUGGAGGAAACUCUGACCGAGCAACGCCGCGUGAACGACGAAGUACUUCGGUAUGUAAAGUUCUUUUAUUGAAGAAGAAACAAUAGUGGAAAAACUAUCUUGACGUUAUUCAAUGAAUAAGCCCCGGCUAACUAUGUGCUAGCAGCCGCGGUAAUACAUAGGGGGCGAGCGUUAUCCGGAAUUAUUGGGCGUAAAGGGUGCGUAGGCGGUUUAAUAAGUCUCUAGUUUAAUUUCAACGCUUAACGUUGUCCUGCUAGAGAAACUGUUUAACUAGAGUGAGAUAGAGGUAAGCGGAAUUCCAUGUGUAGCGGUAAAAUGUGUAAAUAUAUGGAGGAACACCAGAGGCGUAGGCGGCUUACUGGGUCUUUACUGACGCUGAUGCACGAAAGCGUGGGGAGCAAACAGGAUUAGAUACCCUGGUAGUCCACGCCGUAAACUAUGAGUACUAAGUGUCGGGGUUAAACUCGGUACUGAAGUUAACACAUUAAGUACUCCGCCUGAGUAAUACGUACGCAAGUAUGAAACUUAAAGGAAUUGACGGGAUCCCGCACAAGCGGUGGAUCAUGUUGUUUAAUUCGAAGAUACACGAAAAACCUUACCAGGUCUUGACAUACUCUGCAAAGCUAUAGAAAUAUAGUGGAGGUUAUCAGGGAUACAGGUGGUGCAUGGUUGUCGUCAGCUCGUGUCGUGAGAUGUUAGGUUAAGUUCUAAAACGAGCGCAACCCCUGUCGUUAAUUGCCAGCACGUUAUGGUGGGGACUUUAGCGAGACUGCCAAUGAAAAAUUGGAGAAAGGUGGGGAUUACGUCAAAUCAUCAUGCCCCUUAUGAUCUGGGCUACAAACGUGAUACAAUGGCUAUUACAAAGAGUAGCUGAAACGCGAGUUUUUGUCAAAUCUCAAAAAAAUAGUCUCAGUUCGGAUUGAAGUCUGCAACUCGACUUCAUGAAGUUGGAAUCGCUAGUAAUCGCGAAUCAGCAUGUCGCGGUGAAUACGUUCACGGGGUUUGGUACACAAAUCACUAGUCA